CCUACGGGAGGCAGCAGUGAGGAAUAUUGGUCAAUGGCCGGAAGGCUGAACCAGCCAAGUCGCGUGAGGGAAUAAGGCCCUAUGGGUCGUAAACCUCUUUUGUCAGGGAGCAAAGGCGUCCACGAGUGGACGAAAGGAGAGUACCUGAAGAAAAAGCAUCGGCUAACUCCGUGCCAGCAGCCGCGGUAAUACGUAGGGAGCAAGCGUUGUUCGGAAUGACUGGGCGUAAAGGGUGCGUAGGCGGUUAUACAAGUUAGAAGUGAAAUACCCAGGGCUUAACUCGGGUGCUGCUUCUAAAACUGUAAGACUUGAGUGCAGUAGAGGUUAGUGGAAUUCCUAGUGUAGCGGUGGAAUGCGUAGAUAUUAGGAGGAACACCAGAGGCGAAGGCGGCUAACUGGACUGCAACUGACGCUGAGGCACGAAAGUGUGGGGAGCAAACAGGAUUAGAUACCCGUGUAGUC
rnacentral:rRNA from 1 species